rnacentral:rRNA from 1 species
UACGGAGGGGGCUAGCGUUGUUCGGAUUUAUUGGGCGUAAAGCGCGCGCAGGUGGUUCCUUAAGUCUGAUGUGAAAGCCCACGGCUCAACCGUGGAGGGUCAUUGGAAACUGGGGAACUUGAGUGCAGAAGAGGAAAGUGGAAUUCCAAGUGUAGCGGUGAAAUGCGUAGAGAUUUGGAGGAACACCAGUGGCGAAGGCGACUUUCUGGUCUGUAACUGACACUGAGGCGCGAAAGCGUGGGGAGCAAACAGG